rnacentral:rRNA from 1 species
UGGGGAAUUUUGGACAAUGGGCGCAAGCCUGAUCCAGCAAUGCCGCGUGCAGGAUGAAGGCCUUCGGGUUGUAAACUGCUUUUGUACGGAACGAAACGGCUCUGGUUAAUACCUGGGGCUAAUGACGGUACCGUAAGAAUAAGCACCGGCUAACUACGUGCCAGCAGCCGCGGUAAUACGUAGGGUGCGAGCGUUAAUCGGAAUUACUGGGCGUAAAGCGUGCGCAGGCGGUUAUAUAAGACAGAUGUGAAAUCCCCGGGCUCAACCUGGGAACUGCAUUUGUGACUGUAUAGCUAGAGUACGGCAGAGGGGGAUGGAAUUCCGCGUGUAGCAGUGAAAUGCGUAGAUAUGCGGAGGAACACCGAUGGCGAAGGCAAUCCCCUGGGCCUGUACUGACGCUCAUGCACGAAAGCGUAGGGAGCAAACA